GCCUUCGUGGUUUAGUGGUUAGCACAUUCAGCUCGUUUUCGAGAAGUCCGUGGUUCGAGUCCCGGCGAGGGCA
rnacentral:tRNA from 1 species